UAGAAAUUUGUAUUUAAAAGGUUGUUUGUAAAGUACUGGUCUUACAGUUUACAGGCAUACCUCAUUUUACUGCAGUUCACUUUACUGCACUUUACAAAUAUUGCAAUUUUUACAGAUUGAAGGUUUAUGGCAAGCCUGCUUCAACCAAGUCUGUCAGCACCAUUUAUCCAAUAGCAUAUGAUCACUUUAUGUCUCUGUGCCAUAUUUUGUUUAAUUUUUGCAGUAUUUCAGACUUUUUCAUUAUUAUUAAUCUGUUGUAGUGAUCUGUCAUCAGUAAUCUUUGUUACUGUUCAAAUUGUUUUCGGGUGCCACAAACUGCCCAUAUAAGACAGCAAACUUAAUCAACAAAUGUUGUGUGUGUUCUUCCUACUUCACUGACUGGCUAUUGAUUCCCUCAUCUCUCUGUCCCCUUGGGUCUCCCUAUUCCCUGAGACACAGCAAUAUUGAAAUUAGGCUAGUUAAUAGCCUUACAGUGACCUCUGAGUGUCCAAGUGAAAGGAAGAGUAGGAUUUCUGUCACUUUAAAUCAAAAGCUAGAAAUGAUUAAGCUUAGUGAGGAAGGUAUGUCAAAAGCCAAGAUAAGCCAAAAGCUAGGCCUCUUGUGCCAGUUAGCCAAGUUGUAAAUACAAAGGAAAAGUUCUUGAAGGAAAUUAAAAGUGCUAUUCCGGUGAACACACUAAUGAUAAGAAAAUUAAACAGCCUUAUUGUUGAUAUGAAGAAAGUUCCAAUGAUCUGGAUAGAAGAUCAAAGCAGCUACAACAUUCCCUUAAGUCAAAACCUAAACCAGAGCAAUGCCCUAAUUCUCCAAUUCAAUGAAGGCUGAGAAAGGUGAGGAAGCUGCGGAAGAAAAGUAUGACUCUAGCAGAGGUUUGUUCAUGAGGUUGAAGGAAAGAGGCCGUCUUUGUAAUAUAAAAGCGCAAGGUGCAACAGCAAGUGCUGAUGUAGAAGCUGCACAUUAUCCAGAAGAUCUGACUAAGAUAACUGAUGAAAGUGGCUACACUAAACAAUGGAUUUUCAACACAGACAAAACAGCCUUGUAUUAGAAGAUACCAUCUAGGACUUUCAUAGCUGGAAAGGAGAAGUCAAUGCCUGGCUUCGUAGGACAGGCUAAGUCUCUUAUUAGAGGCAAAUGAAGCUAGUGACUUUAAGUUUAAGCCAAUGUUUAUUUACCAUCUGAAAAUCCUAGGACCCUUAAGAAUUGUGCUAAAUCCACUUUGUAUGUGCUCUACAAAUGGAAAAACAAAGCCUGAUGAGAGCACAUCUGUUUAUAGCAUCAUGGAUUACUGAAUAUUUUAAGCCCACUAUUGAGUCCUACAGCUCAGAAGAAAAUAUUUCUUUGAAAAUGUUACUGCUUAUUGACAGUGCACCUGGUCACCCAAGAGCUGAUAUGAUAUACGAGGAGAUUAAUGUUGUUUUCAUGCCUACUAACAUCCAUUCUGUAACCCGUAGAUCAAGGAGUAAUUUUAACUUUCAAGUCUUUUAUUUAAGAAAUACAUUUUGUAAGACCAUAGCUGCUGUACAUAGUGAUUCCUCUAAUCGAUCUGAGCAAAGUAAAUUGAAAACCUUCUGGAAAGGACUCAUCAUUCUAGAUACCAUUAAGAACAUUUAUGAUUCAUGGGAGGAAGUCAAAAUAUCAACAAUAGUGUAAACAAAACUUUUGUAUGCAGUGGGAAACCAAAAAAUGUGUGUGACUCACUUUAUUGCAAUAUUCGCCUUUUUUGUGGUAGUCUGGAACUGAACCUGCAGUAUUUCUGAAGUAUGCCUGUAUUACCUCCAUAUGAUUCUUCACCACUGACAUAUUUCAUAUUGUUUACUCAGUCUUAGGAGGGAAGUAAAAACGACCUAAUUUUUAAAAUUGUUUAUGUCUUUACUCUGGAGAACUUUGCCAUUUUAUGACAACAAUCUCUUUUAGACAUCCCAUGAAUGGAAGCGAUGAAUGAAUACAUAUCUGUAUUGAAAGAAAAGUUAACAGAAAAUUCUGAAAACCAGCUAGCAGUGGGUGCUGUGGCAGCAGAAGGAAACUCAGGCUAUCAGUGAUUUCUAGUGUGGGAAUUUAAUGCAGUUCAAGGAGGGAAAUAGAAAGGAAAAGAAUACCAGAGAAAUGAGCCUUAGGCUUACUAGGGAGUAAAGAUGUUAUGAAACCACAGCCAGUGACUUACCAUGCAGAUUUUAUUUUCUAAAUACCAUUCCCCACUAAAAGGAACCAGGGCUCCAUGGAGAAAUGGCAGAUUCCAGAGCUGGGCAGGGAAGGUACAGAUGAGCCUCAUACUAUGGCAGAGAGGAAGGAAGGGCUGAAAAAAAAAUGGGGGCACAUCCAGCUUGAAGGGGUGCCCAUUGGAAAAAUCUAGGACAGUUUGAGGAUCUCAAUAAGGAUAGUAAUAGAUGGUGUGAAUAAUGGAAAAAUAAAGCCAAUGAAUAUCAGACUCCCUAAUCUAUUCUGAUAAAUAGAAAGUUAGAUAAGGAAAUAAAGAAUUGAGGAAGAAGGGAAAGUUCCUUACAGUAAAAUGCCAUCUAAUAUACAGAGAAGGAAAGAUAGAGUUUGCAUUGUGCCAAGCAAAGUGUAAGGCAUUAGAGGUACCCAGUGCUUAAGAGAGUGCCCUUAGCUUUUUUGCUACUGUGAAGUUAGAAGGAGGCAAAUAAAUACUUUGUCUGUUUAUCUUGUCACCAUUACAGUUAAUCCUCUCAAGGACAAGAUACCUUUGUAAUGUAUUAGGGUAAUGCCUUAGAUUAUUAAUUAGUUGAAUGACUGGUACAUUCCUAAGCACUGACUAUGGUAUAAUGGGUUAUAUUAAAUGUGAGAUGACUCUUUAAUUCAUUUCAUUAAUUUUUUUUGUUGUAAAAGUAAAUGAACUGGUGAAAAUGUAGGGACAUAAAUGAAUAUAAAGACACAAGGCAAAAAAUAUUACCUAAAACUCAACUAUUAAAUGAGUAACCAAUGUUUACAUUUUGGCAUAUUUCCAUCUGGUUUUCUAACAUGCUUAGAUCAUGCGGAAUAUAGUUUUUAAAAAAUCUUUGCCCUCUUUUUAAUGUGCCUAAUUUUUAAAUUUCAAGGUGUUUGACUUUACGUUGCAAAUUGUACUUUGACAACUUACUGUCUCAGCGGGCCUAUUGUGGAAAAAUGAAUUUUGACCACAAGAAUGAAACUCUAAGUAUAUCAGUUCAGCCUGGAGAAGGAAAUAAAGCUGCUUUCAAUGACAUGAGAGCCUUGUCUGGAGGCGAACGUUCUUUCUCCACAGUGUGUUUUAUUCUUUCGCUAUGGUCCAUCGCGGAAUCUCCUUUCAGAUGCCUGGAUGAAUUUGAUGUCUACAUGGAUAUGGUUAAUAGGAGAAUUGCCAUGGACUUGAUCCUGAAGAUGGCAGAUUCCCAGCGCUUUAGACAGUUUAUCUUGCUCACACCUCAAAGCAUGAGUUCACUUCCGUCCAGUAAACUGAUAAGAAUUCUCCGAAUGUCUGAUCCUGAAAGAGGACAAACUACGUUGCCUUUCAGACCUGUGACUCAAGAAGAAGAUGAUGACCAAAGUUGAUUUGUAACUUAACAUGCCUUGUCCUGAUGUUGAGGGAUUUGUGAAGGGAAAAAAAUUCUGGACUCUUUGAUAUAAUAAAAUGAGACUGGAGGCAUUCUGAAAUGAAAGAAACUCCUUUAUAUAUCCAACCACAAUCAAACGUAUAAAUAAACCUAGAAAACCAACUACAACCAGCAAUUUAAGAUUACUAUUACUUUAAGAAAAUCAAUUUCAUAGUAUUGGUUUUAAAUCUUUUUAAGUUUUUUUAAUAUCAUCUAUUUUUAUAGGUUCUUUUUCAGAAGUAAAAUUUUGUACAUAUAUACAUGUACAUAUCUGUUUAGUUUGGGUUCAUUUCUAUAGCAUUUUGUAAGAAAAUAAAAGUUUGACCACCUG
rnacentral:sRNA from 1 species